CGGGGUGUGGCGCAGCUGGUAGCGCGCAUGCAUGGGGUGCAUGAGGCCGCCCGUUCAAGUCGGGUCACCCCGA
rnacentral:tRNA from 4 species